AUCUUCCGCAAUGGACGAAAGACUGACGGAGCGAUGCCGCGCGAGUGAGGAAGGUAUUCGGAUCGUAAAACUCUGUUGUUAGGGAGGCACAAGUAUCGGAGUAAUAUGACGGUACCUUGACGGUACCUACCCAGAAAGCCCCGGCUAACUACGUGCCAGCAGCCGCGGUAAUACGUACGGGGCAAGCGUUGUCCGGAAUUAUUGGGCGUAAAGGGCACGCAGGCGGUUAUUUAAGUCUGAUGUGAAAUCUUGGGGCUUAACCACAAGCGGUCAUUGGAAACUGGAUAACUUGAGUACAGAAGAGGAGAGUGGAAUUCCACGUGUAGCGGUGAAAUGCGUAGAGAUGUGGAGGAACACCAGUGGCGAAGGCGGCUCUCUGGUCUGUAACUGACGCUGAGGUGCGAAAGCGUGGGUAGCGAACA
rnacentral:rRNA from 1 species